rnacentral:tRNA from 1 species
GCCUGGGUGGCGGAACUGGUAGACGCAAGGGACUUAAAAUCCCUCGGCUCUUGUGGCCGUGCCGGUUCGAUUCCGGCCCUAGGCACCA